CAGAACCAGACCUGGCUAACAUUUUCCAAGCCAGUGUGUUUGAGAGCAACACAAUAAAUGUACUAAAUGUAGAUGGAAUUUUGCCAACCAUGAACCAUGAUAAUAAAAAUCAUACAUUUUCACGCAUACUAAACUACACAGCAUGCCUUAACAACCCUAAAGAACCUGCUUAUGGGAUGGGUAAUAGGAAAGAAACCAACAGGUGGGAAGAGGAGACACAUGUUCUCCUUCUCCUUAACUGACCCUGUCUUUCGUCACCGAGUGACAGGUGAAACGUCCCACCCAAUGAGAACGUUUCCGAUGCAUUGCAACCUUUUAGAACGCAUGAAAUGCAUGCAUGCGGCGGCGGUUGGCCUCUCUCUGCACACGGCUCGCGUUGUCUUUUCUGCAAGUGGAAAUCACCUGGGACUGAAACAGGAAGCCACGCUGCUCGUAACCACAGCGCUGUGACUGUUGCUGGCCACCGACAGAGGCAGGCAAAUAAAAGGCCGCAGUGUGCCACAGACAUGCGAGUCUCUUGUAACGGUUAUUAGUUUUGUUGUCUAAGCCUUUCAGCAUCAGAGACCAUUUUGAAAAAGCUACUCGCCUGACCCGAACGCCAUGUUAUCAGAAUAACGGUUUGAAAUCACGACAGGGUUCAACUUUUCGGAAAAAACUUGUUUCGGCCUCAUGCUCGAAAAUGUAUUACAAAGAAAUGACCGAUAAUAUGACAUACCAUUUACAUUUAAUUUCCUGUUCGCCAUUUAUAUUAGUUACUUAGCAGACGCUUUUAUCUAGGGCGACCUACAGUGUAUGAACAACCAAAGUGCUACUUGACUUAUGAGCCAUUUUAAACAAAUUAGCUUAGCCUCUGUACCAGCCACAAACACACUCACUCCCUCAAGUACACUGAACACCUUUCUUAUUUUGCUUAUUUAUUCUAGAAAAAAAGAACAAGAACAAGAACGUAAAAAACACAUUAAUAUAACGCUUUAGACGAACUUUACAGCAAAGCUGAAGUCCACUUUGAAGGCGUCUGAAAGUGAAAGCGGUCGUCUUAAAUAGCAGAACCACAGUAGACAGGAACCCAACAUACUGACACACCUUUGCCCGAACUGAACGUUCAGGGUUGCUGGGGACGUUUUACAAGAGUUUACUCAUGCAAAGACACCACACAUCUCUUCUGUCCAACCUGAGGUACUUGUUAAACAGGGUGCGCCAUGAAUUCAACUAAAGGCCUUUUCCACGUGACGGUAAACAGCACAUAUUUAGAGAUCAUUGAGGAGGUGUUCCUGACCGUGUGGCCGAUUGCCCGCUACGUGUUCCUGGUCCUGUUGCUGAGUGUCUUUGUAGGCACGCUGGUGACAGACUGCAUUACCAGAGGAAACAGAUGCUCAGAAGAAACGAGGCCUGAAAGGGUAAAUGUGGCAGUUCUAUUCUGAUUAAACGUGGCCUUUUGCAUCACAUUUUAAAAUAGGCCAAGUUAAACUACCACACAGAUAACUGUAGAAGCCUUUGUAACCCCGUUGUGAUCUUCAGUACUGU